ensembl:lncRNA
GGCAAGGUCAAGGGGAAAAGCAACAAUGCGCCCUCAAAUCCAGUGAGGGUAGACUGUGUGGGUUUCUCUCUGUCUGUAGUCUUUUUUUUUUUUCUUUUUUUUUUUACAGCAAAUGCAAAACGUGAAUAAACGCAGAAGCACCGGAAUCCGUGAAUAGACUGCUCAUUCUCGUUUCUCUGGUCUGCUGUGGUGUAUUAAACGCGCAAAAGCAUCCAAUGCAUCGCGAUGUGCAACAGUCUGUCUUCCAUAUUACUGAACAAUUCAGUCACACGCAAGCGGGUGUCCAUAGGGCUGAGGUGCUGAAAUCACACACCCAUCACUGAAGCGUCUCGCGCGUGCAAAGUCCCUUUAAUCGCGCGCUCACACCAACUGUUGAUUGCUUUGACAGACGGUCUGACAGACACGCUUGUAAAUCUAUCUCAUCAAGAAGGGCGAAAUCAAUUGACUUCCUCUGGAGUCUGGCCACAGUUUCCGUUUGUCUGGAGCUCUCCCGUCCCUUUCUCUCUCUCUCUCCGCAGAUUUGUAAGCGGUCUCUCUUCGCACGAGCGCAGUCACUGUUACUGAUAGUAGACACGGCGUGAAUGAACCGCGCGAUUCCGCCGCGUCUUCUCACGAUUAUGAAUUUCCCCACGCGUUUUUUAUUUUUAUUUUUUUCUCCCUUUUCUUUGCGUAAGAUAAAAUAUUCAGACGAACAUUCCUUCCACAUCGGUUCACGCCUGUUUGCGGAUGACUAGACGGGGCUGUAGCGGCGGAUAAAUGCUGCUAUCAGAUAAUUGGACGGCGCUUGAAUCAAGUCACUCCCUCCAGAACAGGUUUAUCCGGGGGACGCGCAUCUUCUACCACACAACAUGCAUGCCUCAAAAGACAGAUUUACAUGUGCAGAGUUUCCUUGCACGUCCAUAUCUCAUGGUUGUUGGAUCAAAGAUGGCGAGCCAGUGAAACUCUGGAGAAGAAAUAUCGCAAGCAGUGAAGUUUUCUAUGUGCAAUCUCGCAGCGAUUUCUAGGAUCUUCCAUCUCAACUGAACUUUUCAUUGAGUGAACCUACACAAGGAUCAGAUAAGAACUUUUGAUCAUAUUUACUACUCGAGUAGAUAUUGACGAAAAUACUUUUUUUCUGCUUUUUUAUGGGCCCAAGUUUUAUUUAGUUUAUUUACUAUUAUUGAACAAUAAUUGUAUUUUUCUUUUGACUUAAUCAAAUUGCACUUUCAUAUUCUAAAAGGAAUGGUGCAAUAAAACUGUGCAGUUGUUGAAUAU